rnacentral:rRNA from 1 species
GCGUAAUAGCUCACUAGUCGAGUGACACUGCGCCGAAAAUGUACCGGGGCUAAACAUAUUACCGAAGCUGUGGAUUGUCCUUUGGACAAUGGUAGGAGAGCGUUCUAAGGGCGUUGAAGCAUGAUCGUAAGGACAUGUGGAGCGCUUAGAAGUGAGAAUGCCGGUGUGAGUAGCGAAAGACGGGUGAGAAUCCCGUCCACCGAUUGACUAAGGUUUCCAGAGGAAGGCUCGUCCGCUCUGGGUUAGUCGGGUCCUAAGCUGAGGCCGACAGGCGUAGGCGAUGGAUAACAGGUUGAUAUUCCUGUACCACCUAUAAUCGUUUUAAUCGAUGGGGGGACGCAGUAGGAUAGGCGAAGC